AUCGAACGCUAGCGGGAUGCCUUACACAUGCAAGUCGAACGGAGUGGCGAACGGGUGAGUAAGGUAUACGUACGUGCCCAGUCGCGGGGGAUAACUACGCGACAGCGUACCUAAUACCGCAUCCUCUUGGCUCGGCCGUUAGCGGAUUAGGUAGUUGGAGGGGUAACGGCUCACCAUGGCGACGAUCCGUAGCUGGUUUGAGAGGACGACCAGCCACACUGGGACUGAGACACGGCCCAGACUCCUACGGGAGGCAGCAGUGGGGAAUCUUGGACAAUGGGGGAAACCCUGAUCCAGCCAUCCCGCGUGAGUGAUGAAGGCCUUCGGGUUGUAAAGCACUUUUGGCAGGAAAGCGGUACCUGCAGAAUAAGCACCGGCUAACUACGUGCCAGCAGCCGCGGUAAUUC
rnacentral:rRNA from 1 species